AACGAACGCUGGCGGCAUGCCUAACACAUGCAAGUCGAACGAACCCUUCGGGGUGAGUGGCGCACGGGUGCGUAACACGUGGGAACCUGCCCUUAGGUUCGGAAUAACAGUUAGAAAUGACUGCUAAUACCGGAUAAUGUCUUCGGACCAAAGAUUUAUCGCCUUUGGAUGGGCCCGCGUAGGAUUAGCUAGUUGGUGAGGUAAAGGCUCACCAAGGCGACGAUCCUUAGCUGGUCUUAGAGGAUGAUCAGCCACACUGGGACUGAGACACGGCCCAGACUCCUACGGGAGGCAGCAGUGGGGAAUAUUGGACAAUGGGCGAAAGCCUGAUCCAGCAAUGCCGCGUGAGUGAUGAAGGCCUUAGGGUUGUAAAGCCCUUUUACCUGGGAUGAUAAUGACAGUACCAGGAGAAUAAGCCCCGGCUAACUCCGUGCCAGCCGCCGCCGUAAGAC
rnacentral:rRNA from 1 species